rnacentral:rRNA from 1 species
UACGUAGGGGGCAAGCGUUAUCCGGAUUUACUGGGUGUAAAGGGAGCGUAGACGGCGAAGCAAGUCUGAAGUGAAAUCCCGCGGCUCAACCGCGGAACUGCUUUGGAAACUGUUUGGCUUGAGUGCAGGAGGGGUAAGUGGAAUUCCUAGUGUAGCGGUGAAAUGCGUAGAUAUUAGGAGGAACACCGGUGGCGAAGGCGGCUUACUGGACUGUAACUGACGUUGAGGCUCGAAAGCGUGGGGAG